rnacentral:rRNA from 1 species
UACAGAGGGGGCAAGCGUUGUUCGGAAUUACUGGGCGUAAAGGGCGCGUAGGCGGCCUUCUAAGUCGAACGUGAAAUCCCUGGGCUCAACCCAGGAACUGCGUCCGAUACUGGGAGGCUUGAAUCCGGGAGAGGGAUGUGGAAUUCCUGGUGUAGCGGUGAAAUGCGCAGAUAUCAGGAAGAACACCCGUGGCUAAGGCGGUUCUCUAGUACGGUACUGACGCUGAGACGCGAAAGCGUGGGGAGCGAACAGG